GAUCAUGGCUCAGGACGAACGCUGGCGGCGUGCUUAACACAUGCAAGUCGAGCGAUGAAGCUUCUUCGGAAGUGGAUUAGCGGCGGACGGGUGAGUAACACGUGGGUAACCUGCCUCAUAGAGGGGAAUAGCCUUCCGAAAGGAAGAUUAAUACCGCAUAAGAUUGUAAUAUCGCAUGAUAUAGCAAUUAAAGGAGUAGUCCGCUAUGAGAUGGACCCGCGUCGCAUUAGCUAGUUGGUGAGGUAACGGCUCACCAAGGCGACGAUGCGUAGCCGACCUGAGAGGGUGAUCGGCCACAUUGGGACUGAGACACGGCCCAGACUCCUACGGGAGGCAGCAGGUGGGGAAUAUUGCACAAUGGGGGAAACCCUGAUGCAGCCAACGCCGCGUGAGUGAUGACGGCCUUCGGGUUGUAAAGCUCUGUCUUCAGGGACGAUAAUGACGGUACCUGAGGAGGAAGCCACGGCUAACUACGUGCCAGCAGCAGC
rnacentral:rRNA from 1 species